AUGGCACCGCCGGCGUCGUACAUCGUCAACGAGAUCCUGGAGGAGAUCUUCCUUCGCCUACCCACCCCGGCCGCGCUCGUCCGCGCCUCAACCGCCAGCCCCCGUUUCCGCCGCAUCAUCACGGGGCGCUCCUUCCUCCGCCGCUUCCGCGCUCUCCAUCCGCCUCCACUCGUGGGAUUCGCCCUUGACAAACAUGGCUUCCACCACGCCCAAGAACCCCAUCCCUCCGCCCCGCUUGCCCGCGCCCUUGCCGACCGCGCAGAUUUCACCUACUCCUUCGUCCCCAAGCCCAAUGAUGAUUGGCUCAGCGGCCUCAGCCCCUGGUGCCACCGCGACGUUCGCGACGGCCGCGUCCUCCUCGAGUGCAGCUACCUGUGGGACAUCGAGCCAGUCUUUACACACCUGGCGGUGUGCGAUCCCUGGUCACGGAGAUCCACGCUGCUCUUUCCCAUACCAGAGGAGAUGACCGUCCAGCAAGAGCGCCUUAUCGAGUUCGAGCCAAUGCUUGCUCCCAUUGGCGAGGAUGAGGAUGAGAAUGAGGAUGAGACCUCGUUCAAGGUGAUCUGCACGGCGCGCUACGAAACCAAGCUGGUCACGUUUGUGUACUCUUCCGUAGCCGUUGAAUGGUGUAUAGCUGCAUCUCCCAGCUGGAACUCUUUGGGCACAGAUGAGCCCCCUCGGAAAGGCUUUUCGCAUUUCAACUAUUUGCGUGGCUGCUUCUACUGGAGCUCUCUUUGGAAAGACAAGCUUCUCGUGCUGGACACACGCACGAUGGAGUUCUCCACUGCCAACAUUCUCACCGGCUACCAUGUGCAGCUUAUAAACCAGCCUGGACAGAGUGUGUGCAUGUCUACCAUUGUUGAUGGUACAAAAGGAGCACUUGAGAUGUUUACUCUUGUUGGUCAUUGCAAGCCUACCUCGUUUUAUAUUUAUCAUACAAGUCAGCAAAACAACGGCGGACCUUCCAAAGAGUGGCAGCUGAAAAAUGUUAUAGCAUUGCCUCCCCGAUGUCUCUAUUAUACCGUGGGUGCAACUGAGGGAUUCUUAUUCCUUCGAGGUGUUCGAGAAGCUCGGUGGGAUGACAAUAGACAUGGAGUCUUUCCUGUGGAUAAUGAUGUCGAUUUUUUCUCUCUGGAUGUCAAGACUUCAGAACUUAAGAAGGUCUGCAGCUGCAGGGCAACAAUCUUUGAUCGUCCCAAUCGUGCUCACCCAUUAUUUGGCUUCCCGCCAUCAUUGUCGAAACCGAGCCUAUGA
rnacentral:rRNA from 1 species